ACUUUUUUUUUCCCCUCAAGAGAGUAUGUUCUGACCUAUUUCAAAGUGGUGCUUAACAAUUCAAGUGAUAGGAACACCUGGGUGGCUCAGUGUUGACCGUCUGCCUUCGGCUUGGGGUGUGAUCCUGGAGUCCCAGGAUCAAGUCCCAUAUCGGGCUCCUUGCAAGGAGCCUGCUUCUCCUAUCUCUGACUCUCUCUGUGUCUCUCAUGAAUAAGUAAAAUCUUAAAAAAAAACAAAAACAAAAACAAUUCAAGUGAUAUAAUUACCCUAUGUUUUGAAGUUGACUGCCUAUGUAAUAAAGAGGAACAAUUCUCCAUGUAUUUGAGUUGGAAAAAUGAGACAUACCAGAUCUUGCAUCUCUUUCUGGAGUCGCACCAAGGCUUUCCGAGUGCCAACAGCAAAUACAUAGGUAUCCAUGUCUUCAUCAUUCAUGGUUACUUUUAUUUGCUUAAAGACAACAACAACAGAAUUCACCUGUUAGAUUCUGUGAUAUGCAGAGUUCUAUGAUGGCCCCUGAGAGUCCCACCCCCUGAGGUCUACAUUCUUCCCUUGAAUGUGAGAGGAACCUUUGGCAACAGUAAGAAAAUGGAGACUUACAACCAUGGGGACCGGACUUCUGCCAACAACGUAAAUGACCUUGAAAAGAGGAACUCAAGCUCUAGAAAUUCAAGUUGCUGAACAACUGGACUUAUUGGGAGGAUAGAGUACCCAGAAAGGGCCUGGGAGCCCUCUGUAUACCAUCCCCAUGCCCAUAUCUUGCCUCUCUUCCAUUGGACUAUUCCUGAAUUGUAUCCUUUAUAAUAAACCAGUAAAUAUAA